rnacentral:rRNA from 1 species
GAACGAACGCUGGCGGCAUGCCUACCCCAUGCAAGUCGAACGAGACCUUCGGGUCUAGUGGCGCACGGGUGCGUAACGCGUGGGAACCUGCCCUUAGGUUCGGAAUAACUCCCCGAAAGGGGUGCUAAUACCGGAUAAUGUCUUCGGACCAAAGAUUUAUCGCCUUUGGAUGGGCCCGCGUUGGAUUAGCUAGUUGGUAGGGUAAAAGCCUACCAAGGCGACGAUCCAUAGCUGGUCUGAGAGGAUGAUCAGCCACACUGGGACUGAGACACGGCCCAGACUCCUACGGGAGGCAGCAGUGGGGAAUAUUGGACAAUGGGCGAAAGCCUGAUCCAGCAAUGCCGCGUGAGUGAUGAAGGCCUUAGGGUUGUAAAGCUCUUUUACCCGGGAUGAUAAUGACAGUACCGGGAGAAUAAGCGCCGGCUAACUCCGUG